GAUGAAGAACGUAGCGAAAUGCGAUAAGUAAUGUGAAUUGCAGAAUUCAGUGAAUCAUCGAAUCUUUGAACGCACAUUGCGCCCGCCAGUAUUCUGGCGGGCAUGCCUGUCUGAGCGUCAUUUCAACCCUCAUGCCCCUAGGGCGUGGUGUUGGGGAUCGGCCAAAGCCCGCGAGGGACGGCCGGCCCCUAAAUCUAGUGGCGGACCCGUCGUGGCCUCCUCUGCGAAGUAGUGAUAUUCCGCAUCGGAGAGCGAUGAGCCCCUGCCGUCAAACCCCCAACUUUCCAAGGUUGACCUCAGAUCAGGUAGGAAUACCCGCUGAACUUAAGCAUAUCAAAAGCGGAGGA
rnacentral:misc_RNA from 1 species